GAUGAACGCUGGCGGCGUGCCUAAUACAUGCAAGUCGAGCGAACUUUUGGGAGCUUGCUCCCAAAAGUUAGCGGCGGACGGGUGAGUAACACGUGGGUAACCUGCCUGUAAGACUGGGAUAACUUCGGGAAACCGGAGCUAAUACCGGAUAACAUUGAAGACCACAUGGCCUUCCAUUAAAAGGUGGCUUUUAGCUACCACUUACAGAUGGCCACGCGGCGCAUUAGCUAGUUGGUGAGGUAACGGCUCACCAAGGCGACGAUGCGUAGCCGACCUGAGAGGGGGAGCUGCCUCGCUGGUACGGAGACACGGCCCAGAAUCCUACGGGUGGCAGCAGGAGGGAAUUUCCCGCGAUGGAAGAAAUGCUGACUGAGCAACGCCGCGUGAGCGAAUAAUGCAGUCGGGUCGUAUAGCUCAGUUGUUAGGGAAGAACAAGUAUCGUUCGAAUACGGCGUUACCUUGACGGUACCGAAACAGAAAGCCACGGCUAACUACGUG
rnacentral:rRNA from 1 species